UACGUAGGGUGCGAGCGUUGUCCGGAAUUAUUGGGCGUAAAGGGCUCGUAGGCGGUUUGUCGCGUCGGGAGUGAAAUCCACUGGCUUAACUGGUGGCUUGCUUUCGAUACGGGCAGACUGGAGGCAUGCAGGGGAGAACGGAAUUCCUGGUGUAGCGGUGAAAUGCGCAGAUAUCAAGUGGAACACCAGUGGCGAAGGCGAGUCUCUGGACAUUUCCUGACGCUGAGGCACGAAAGCCAGGGGAGCAAACGGG
rnacentral:rRNA from 1 species